UACAGAGGGUGCAAGUGUUGUUCGGAAUCAUUGGGCGUAAAGGGCGCGUAGGCGGUUAAGUAAGUCAGAUGUGAAAGCCCUGGGCUUAACUCAGGAAAUGCAUUUGAUACUGCUUAACUAGAGUUCGGUAGAGGAUAGUGGAAUUCCCGGUGUAGAGGUGAAAUUCGUAGAUAUCGGGAGGAACACCAGUGGCGAGAGCGGCUAUCUGGGCCGACACUGACGCUGAGGCGCGAAAGCGUGGGGAGCAAACAGG
rnacentral:rRNA from 1 species